rnacentral:rRNA from 1 species
GAUGAACGCUGGCGGCGUGCCUAACACAUGCAAGUCGAGCGGCAGCGAGGGGUGCUUGCACCCUGUCGGCGAGCGGCGGACGGCUGAGUAACGCGUGGGAACGUGCCCCAAAGUGAGGAAUAACUGCCCGAAAGGGUAGCUAAUACCGCAUAUUAUCUUCGGAUCAAAGGAUUUAUCCGCUUUGGGAGCGGCUCGCGUCGGAUUAGGUAGUUGGUGAGGUAAUGGCUCACCAAGCCGACGAUCCGUAGCUGGUCUGAGAGGAUGACCAGCCAGACUGGAACUGAGACACGGUCCAGACUCCUACGGGAGGGAGCAGUGAGGAAUCUUCCACAAUGGGCGAAAGCCUGAUGGAGCAACGCCGCGUGCAGGACGAAGGCCUUCGGGUUGUAAACUGCUUUUAUAAGUGAGGAAUAUGACGGUAACUUAUGAAUAAGGAUCGGCUAACUACGUG